rnacentral:rRNA from 1 species
AUGUGGAAACUUCGACUCAUCACCAACAUGAGGGCUCAUAAUGACACGUGGUUUGCAGAUUACUUGCUUAGGAUCGGCAAUGGCACCGAGGAAGCUGACGAUCAGGGCAAUAUACUACUCCCCGAUGACAUCUGUCUGCCGUCUACAGGCGAUGCUGACGACCUCGAGAAGCUGAUUGAACACGUGUUUCCGAGUCUAGAUGACAACAUGACUGAUUCGAAUUACAUGACAUCUCGCGCAAUCCUUUACACAACCAAUGACAAUGUCGACAAGAUAAACACACGCAUGAUAGAG